rfam:Oryza glaberrima chromosome 3 Oglab03_0093_3, whole genome shotgun sequence.
UUUAAGUGCAACCAUAAGUUUUUACACCCAAUUUUGAUCGUCCGUCUUAUUUAAUUUUUUUUAUAAUUAGUAUUUUUAUUAUUAUGAGAUAAUAAAACAUUAAUAAUACUUUAUACAUAACUUAUGUUUUAAUUUUUUUAAAUGAGAUGGAUGAUCAAAAUUAUGCACGAAAAAUUCUGACUGCACUUAAA